rnacentral:rRNA from 1 species
GACGAACGCUGGCGGCGUGCUUAACACAUGCAAGUCGAACGGAAAGGCCCCCUUGUGGGGUACUCGAGUGGCGAACGGGUGAGUAACACGUGAGUAACCUACCCUUGACUUUGGGAUAACUUCAGGAAACUGGGGCUAAUACCGGAUAGGAGCUCCUGCUGCAUGGUGGUGGUUGGAAAGUUUCGGCGGUUGGGGAUGGACUCGCGGCUUAUCAGCUUGUUGGUGGGGUAGUGGCUCACCAAGGCUUUGACGGGUAGCCGGCCUGAGAGGGUGACCGGCCACAUUGGGACUGAGAUACGGCCCAGACUCCUACGGGAGGCAGCAGUGGGGAAUAUUGCACAAUGGGCGGAAGCCUGAUGCAGCAACGCCGCGUGCGGGAUGACGGCCUUCGGGUUGUAAACCGCUUUCGCCUGUGACGAAGCGUGAGUGACGGUAAUGGGUAAAGAAGCACCGGCUAACUACGUG